UACGAAGGGGCUAGCGUUGCUCGGAAUCACUGGGCGUAAGGGUGCGUAGGCGGGUCUUUAAGUCAGGGGUGAAAUCCUGGAGCUCAACUCCAGAACUGCCUUUGAUACUGAGGAUCUUGAGUUCGGGAGAGGUGAGUGGAACUGCGAGUGUAGAGGUGAAAUUCGUAGAUAUUCGCAAGAACACCAGUGGCGAAGGCGGCUCACUGGCCCGAUACUGACGCUGAGGCACGAAAGCGUGGGGA
rnacentral:rRNA from 1 species